AGUUGUUCCUUAGUGGAAACUCAGUUCUUCUACAAACACUGAGUUCCGCCCAAAGGGAAAUGUAUUUUCAUUAAGGGAAGGCUAACAUUUGCCCGAAAUUGAAGAACAAAUUCAUAGGGAGCACAUGUAAGCUAUAUGCUGGAUUUUUUUUUUUUCUGUAAGAGUUCUAGAUUUUUAAUAUGGCUAAUUUUUUUUUUACCUUAAACUGAUAGUUUUAGGCUUUACACCAGACAUGAUGAAAUAGAUGAAAUGCUGGAUUAAGACAGCACCUUUACUAUGACUCAAUGUAAAUUUAGCUCCAUGGUUACCUGUGGAUCUCAACUCCGAGUGUGCAUCAGCAUGCUUUGGAGAGCUUUUAAAAACUGGGGAUAUUUGGCCCACCCGCAGAGAUUCAGUAUAUGAGUCCAAUAUGCAGCCACCUGUGUUGGAUGCUAGGGUCUUUUAUUGCUGUAUUAUUUAUUUAUUCAGGCUAUAAAAGUAAUACCUACAUCUCAGUGGCUCACACAAUAAAGAUUUAUGUCUCCUUAAGUCCUAGUCCAGUGUGUGGGGAGGAUGUGCUGAGGCCAGUGGGGAGGGGACUGACACCGCCCCUCCCCCCAUCAUCCCCUGAAGGCCUCUGAAUUUCCCAUAAGGAGAAUGAGGGGAGAGAGAAUAAGGAGGCUGAAUGGGAGGUUUUCUGUUCAGUCCUGUGUUGGUAAAUGUGCUUAUAUUCUUAUUACGUUAGCCGGAUUCAGUCUUAAGGUCUCCACUUAACUUCAAGGAGGUCUGGAAUUGCUGUCUACAUUUGUGCCCUGACGGAGGGGAAACAGGGGUCAGUGAGUAUGUGGCAACCUCUCCCACAAUCUCUUACUCUAAUGUCUAGAACAGAUUUUGAUUAAAAUAAGCCCAGAGAUAUGCUAAAAGGUAAUUGUGAAGGGUAGAUCAUCUAAAAUCGCUUUCUUCCUUAGGUGUUUGUUUCGUGUCUUGAAAAAAUAACACCGAAGUACAUAAUUUUACGUGGUCAUAGAAUUUGGAUUGAAGACGCUGAUACAGCAGGGAGACCAGCAUGUAAUCAGGGUAUCCAGGGUUAGGUAGUAUGUGUGUGAAGGGAGCGUAUUGAACUGAAGGGUUUAGAAACUCAGAAAUACUGAAAAGAAGGUUGGGGUUACAUUUUUCCUACGAAAGAUCUCCUCUGAAGUAGGACCAGAAAUUCCUUUCAGUUUGGUGUUAAUGUUAGUGAGUCAUACAGAUCUUCAGUUUGGUUCCAACUUUUCAUUCCAUUGACAGUCUCACUGUAAGGCUACUCAGAUGAGAAAAAGUUGGGAUUGUCUUCAACUUUUUAUAUGAAUAUUGUGCUGCAUUUGAGUCACAGGGCCUCUUCUGUGGGGCUUCUGUUUAAGAUAGGGUUAAUUUAUUGCUGCUUUCAGGUACUGGGAAGAAUGCGGUUUAUUUACAUUCACCAAGAAUGUCUAGGUUCUACUAACAGGUAUGAAGAGUGAAGGUAAAUUAAAAACCACAUUCCAAGAUAUUAUUAAAAACAGCAAUAAGGUUUUUAUUCUCCCUUAUUCUAAACUUGAGACAUUGAAAUAAGUGGCUUAUUUUAUUUAUUUACUUAUGUAUUUAUAAAGUAAGUAUAUAUACUUCAGGCUAUAAAAGUUACCAGCCUUUAUUUAUAUACUUAUUUAUAAAAGUUUAUUUUCAAAGAGAGUGCGAGCAGGGGAGAGGCAGAGAUAGAGGGGGAGAGAGAAUCUGAAGCAGGUUCUGUGCUGUCAGCCCAGAGCCCUACGUGGGGCUUGAUCCUGUGAGAUCACGACUUAGCCGAAACCGAGUCAGACGCUUAACUCACUGAACCACCCAGUUGCCCCAUAGGUUACUAAUUUUAAUACAUUUGACAGCAUGCUCAAGAUAGUGCUAAAUAAAAUACUGCAAAAAUUUGCUUUUUCAUGGGUAUUUUUGACCACCAUAGGAACAUUAAAGAUAUGAACAUUGAUUUUUCAAUUCAUGACAUUAUUAGCAUAUCAAAAAUCAGUCUGAUUAUUUUAUAGUCAUGUCAUAUUCUAAAGGCUAACUUUGAUGAAUUCUGUCUCAGGUGUGAUUUCUUUUAGGCACUAAUUAUUCAAGCUAUUCUAAAAUCUUUUCUUUGGUUUUCUUACUGAUCAUUUACUCAGAGAUUAAAAUAUUAUUUUAAUAUCUCAACCUCAUUUCAGUGAGCAUAUUAGUGUAUUAGUCUACUAGUUUGCAGGAUAUUUAGACGAUUUCAAAGAACCAGAUAGUCUCCAGUGGCUUAAUUAUGUAAAUGCAACUGCACUUCUUGUAUUCAAACAUGUUAGGGAAUGCAGGGUUUUAUAUUUGUUUUAUUUUUCUGGAUAUAUUUAAUUGCCUUUUGUGUUUAAUCUAGGCACUUCUACCUUUUGGUUGUGGAAUUUAUGUGAUUUAUUUGAAUGUCCUCUAUGUGGUAGUUUUACCUUCUCUGUAGGGUCAUAGAGGUGAUCAGAAUGGUAGGUUCUCUGUGACUGCCGUAGUCCCUGACACAUGACAGGAUUCAGUUAAUAGAACUUUCGGAUUUAUCUCUGUGCCCAGCACAUGGAGCAAAGCGUCUGUGCACUUGGCCAUCUUUGCUGUAAACUUUCACUUACUGAGUAUGCAUCACAGCCCUGCACUACAAUAUUUGGUUGCCUACAGUGCGUAAAAAGAACAGUUGUAACAUAAAAAGCUAGUUUGAGAGAGAGCAUAUUUAACCACAAACAAUGAGCUAAAAACUAUGAAGUUAUUUAAAAAACUGAUGAAAAGCAUUGGUGUAAAGCACCUUAAGAUGAUUUGUUAAAUUGAAUACAGGUCUGAACUAGAAGAAAGUCGAAAUCACUGAAUUUUCAAAUGCAGGUACUGUGUUUUUGAUACCUAGCACACAUAAGGGCCUCAAAGCAACUGUUACCUUGAUUUUGAUAAGCAAAAUCUUCUAUUUCUAUCUCAGUGAAUGAGUGACAGUCUUUAUAAAUGGUCUCAGCACCUUUUAUAUAGAAAUUAAUUUGAUUUUUAGUAUGGUUUGCUGGAUAGAUAACUAAUAAAGUAUUUUUCCAACCUAAAAGUCUGUGAUUCUGAUUAUGUUACUUGAUCUUUGGUUAACAGAUCAUUUCCAUUGACUAAAACUAAGCCUUAACCUAUGAUAGAUUAAAUGAUCAAAUACUAACUUAGAAUAAGAACCAUUAAUCAUUUUAGGUACACUUGCGGUGAGUCUAGCAUAACGUAUAAACUUGUGGAAUCACCGUGUUGUACACCUGAAACUGAUACAACGUUGUAUAUCGGCUACACUUCAAUAAAUUAUUUAAGUAAUUAUUAAUGUCUAAAUGUAUGGUGUAAGUACUGGAAUAUGUCUAACAAGUUAGCUAGGAACUCGUGAGAAUUGAGACCCUAGGUGCAUCAAUGCAGUGCUGGGAAGCUUGUGGUUUGGUGUUUGUCCGUUCAUUUAGUCACUAAAUAAAUACUGAUCGAAUGCCCUCUGUGUACUUACUAUGUGCCAGGCACUCUGUUAGAUGCUGAAAAUCUGUUGAUGAUGAAAACAAACGUGGGUAGUGAUAUCACAGAUACUCAUAAACUAAUGGGGGAGAGAGACAAGCAUCUAAUUGCAACUCAGGCACUGGUAUUUGACAGGAUCCAAUAAAUAAGUAACCAUCAUUACUCACCCGAGUCUGGAUUGAAGACAAAUGGUCUGACAGAUGGAACUCAAAAUGUUAGCUCUUUUGCUACUGAUGAAAAGAUCUUGGUGACGAGAAUGUUAGCUCUUCUCUCCGAGGGGGCUCGUGGGUACAGCUGUGAGUUGGACAGACUCACCCCCCGCACAAGCAGCGCGUACCAGUGGCUGCCUCUCCGAGCCCGCCCAUCUAAUAGCGUAUGGCAUAGAGCAGAGAAUGCAAGCAGGAACCCGUGUGUUCUAGACUCCCUGAAGGCUGAAAGUGGAGAUGUGAGCAAUUGUGGACGUUAGGGAACUCACUGUGGUUCAGCUGGUUGUAUAAAGAAAGAGUGUUAGGAGAUGUCUGGAGGAGAUGACUAGGGUCAGGAUGGUACGGUGCCUUGUCAUGUUAAGAAUUUCAGUUUUUCCCAAGAGCACCAGGGAGCCAUUGAGGGAUCUUAAACAGGUAGUAGACAUGGUCGCAUUGCUUUUUUUAAAUAUCAUCGAGAAAGCAUUGUGUGGGGCAGGACUGAGGGUCGAAAACAACCAGAAACAGGUUGUUUUCAUUACAAGGGACAGAGGGCAUGCAGUGUGAAGAGGGGUAACAAUGUUUGAGCAAAUAGGUUGGAAGACAUUUGCUGUCUCAUCUUUCUGGCUUCUUCUUAGCCACUUUGCUGCUCAUUAGCACCUCCAGAAGGAGGGUGGACAGGGGAGCUGAAUCAGAUCUUCCUAAUGUUCCUUCAGAGCACCUGUUAUGAAGAAUGCUUAGUAAUUUUUUUUAAUUGCAGUGAAUAGUCGCGGUGCAGUUUGGGAUUAACUGAAAACUUCAUUUAUUCAUCCUGUCCCAGGAUCUCAUUAGCGUGUAUGAUUGAAUUGGAAGUGAUUUUAAUUAUUUAGUUGACCCUUUUAAUUACCUCAUUUUGCCUGUGAUAGUUUGUAAGCUUUCUGCAAGAUUUUAAUUUGAUCACAUCAAAGAAGUCACAGCUUCCCACUGAAAACAACAGCUACACAAGCAGCAAAACCAUGUUCUAAAGUUCUGUGACAUUCCUUUUGGGAUUAGAUGAAAAGCUAAAUCAUUCUUGGAUCAUACUGUAUUUUUAAGAAUAAACUUAAAAAAAAAAAAAAGGAGAGAGAAUAUACUUUUCCUCAUUGUAUAAACUUUGUUGAAGUAGAUUGCUUUUGGUUUGAAGACCAGGAGUAGACUGUUAACGUCCAACAGCUCAAAUGUCAAAAUAUCUCAUCCUCCAUCUGACUUCGGAAGCUAUUGUAUUUACAAAAUUAAGUCCUCUUAAUUUUGCCAUGUCAUUUUGUUAACUGUCUGGCUCCAUGUUUUAGGAUCUUUUUGAGUUGGGUGCUCACUGUUAUGCACAUGUCUUAAGAGAGCAAUAGUCAUGUGGCCAUCCCUUCUUCCACUGACACAGUGCCCACUAAAGCCCUCACGCCGUGCCCAGCAGUGUUUACUGCCCCAUGGGCCCAAGGAUGAUAAUAUAUACUGAUGAUAGAUAUAACUGCUCAUGCUCAUGCUAACACAGAUAUUUUCUAUGAUAGCAGAGAGGAGGGAAUGACUAAAUUUUCACUUCAUUAUCAAGGGCCAAAACUUUGGGUGAGGGAGUAAAGAAUGGAGCAUUUCAAACCACAGAAAGUGAGACUGAGCAUACUAACAUAUGCAAAAACAAACAAACAAAAACCCCACUCAGAGACAAAGAUAAUGGAAAUGUCCUAGUUUUAUUAUUACCUUGUGUAUUUAUUGUUGUAUAUUUGUAUCGUCAAAGGACGGUCUCAUGAAAUUUGAGAGUGUAUACAUGUAGAUCCUAGAGCUGCUAGAGCUGUAAAUUAUCUUUAGAGAUCCUAGUCCAAAGCUGUUUAUUUUAUAGUGUGGAGCCUGGGGCUCAGGAAAAUGAAGCGACUAGCCCGAAGUAGAACGGUGACCGAAGGCAGAACCAGACGUUACUGUCAGCCGGCCGCCGUCACAGCACUGCCUGCAACCCCCCAGUGAACCCAGAAGGGGCCUCUUUGAGAUCUUAUUUUCUGUUUCAUGUUCAUGAAUCCUUUAGGAAAAGUUCUGAAAUUUUAACCCGAACUCUUGUGACAACAGGGAUGCUAUCAGGCUGUUACUGGAUUAGCCACAGUUUUGUCCAGGACAUUGGUGUCCUCCUGGGUCAGUGCUGUACCCUCAACAACGUGUCUUCAUCUACAGAGAACUUUGAGUAGACACUUCCAUCUAGAGUUUCCACAGAAAUGUUUCCAGACAACCAAAGAUGGUUUUAGCCCCACCACUCAAGAUCAGAGCUCUCCGGAAGACAGCUUCCAGUGCGGAUGAAAGUAUAUUAUGAAGGAAAUAAAAUUACAGCGUGGCAGAGGAUUUGAGUCUAGGAUUCAAGACCCAGUAGAUUUCUAAUGAAUAAAGGAAGACUAGAAACAGUUUGACUCCUCUUUCAGAUGAGCCAAGGGAAUACCAGGGGGAUUUUUUCUACCCAAGGAGUUUCCGUUCUCACAGCUACCUGUCCAGCACUUGCGGGGUACAAGGAUUCUACGGAAAUGUGGGAGACUUUGUGUCAUGUGCUUUUAUCUCCCCAGGCAGUUUAUGUUACAAAUGCAUCUUGGGUAAAUCCCAUGUCACUUAAAAAAAAAAAUUGGUAAACUAACAGUUUUCAAUAACAAACAUUUCAGAGAAAAUUGAAAAGAGCCAUUACCAAGGUAAUAAAGUUUACAAGUGAAAAUGUUUGUAUUUAAGAUCAGUUUUAAAAUUCUGCAUUCAGUAUUUUUUCAAUGGUGUUUCUAUCUCUGAGUCUUGUUAGAAAUAAUUACUGGCAUGAAUUUAACAGCCAUCAAAGACUUGGUGUUGUAAUGCACAUACAGUUAGUUUUGAGCGAAACGUCUAUGCAUUUCAUUAUUAUUUUCAUUAAGAUACACUGGAAUAUUGUACUGUUCUUAAAUGCAUUUUCAGCACAAGGAAAUCUGUAACAAAAUUUCUGGUGCUUUUAGUAGAUGCAUCUGAUACAAAUCUAUAAAUUUUUUUUUUUUUUUUACUCAAUUUUAGAGCUAAGGAAGGUCUUAGAGCUAAGGUCUUUUGAAUGAUGAAGAAUGAAGGGUGUGCAGAGAAUUCUAAUGAGAGAGGAAGAGGAUAGUGAAUAGCAGCACCACGGGAGAAUUUAGGCACAAACAAGGAAGUUUGUUGUGGCUUUGAAGAUAAGGCUUUCCUGGAUUCCUUUCCCCACUUCCUUUUUUUCACUUGUGAUGGGAUUAAGCUGCACUACCGUGCCUCUGACCCUCUCACUUGAAUAAGGAAGGAGAGGAGCUCAGAACACUUUUUUUUUUUUACUUUCAAGGAGGGAAGGAACCACUACCAGCUCCUUCCGUACCUAUUCCUUACGGCUCCCUAUUUAGUGAACACUCGUCAGUGGAUGUGUGUGUGAACACACACACACGUACAAGCAUUGGUUAUCGGUCGCUAGUGGUUUUUCCUCACUUUCCCUGAUUUCUGUAUUUUUCCCUUUUCCACUGAGCGUUCCCCACAUUGUGGCUCUGAAAACUGCACAGUGUUUGACAGCCAAGUGGCCUGUGUGUUCACGGCAACCAGAAUUUGACCUUCAACCUUCGGUUUCCUUCUCUCUUAUGAAGCACAAGUCAGGUUGUGUUUGUGUAAAAGCCAAAAAAGCAGAUUUCCGGUGAAAACAAAACUUCUUUUUUGAAAGGUGGCAAAGUGCAUGGGCAAAAUCGUUUGAUUUCCAGAGAAUUUGCCAAAUAUUUUUUGGUAGGAAGCAUUGUCUUUGAUGAAAAAGUUCACAAAAAAGGAGAAGGGAAGGACACAGUGGAUUAUUUCGGUGUCACUGUGUCGGGAAGAAUAAUACAAUCUAAAAAGCUAUUGCUGAGUUGGCCUUGAAAGUAAAAAUAAUUUAA